GAUGAACGCUGGCGGCGUGCCUCAAACAUGCAAGUCGAGCGGGGCUAUGUUGGACCGUAAGGGAAGAUAUAGCCCAGCGGCGAACGGGUGAGUAACACGUGGGUAACCUACCUGGAAGACAGGGAUAACGAUUCGAAAGGGUCGCUAAUACCUGAUAAUAUCUAACAGUCGGAUGGCAGUUAGAAGAAAGGGGAAACCCGCUUUCAGAUGGGCCCGCGUCCCAUCAGCUAGUUGGUAAGGUAAAGGCUUACCAAGGCGACGACGGGUAGCCGGUCUGAGAGGAUGUACGGCCACACUGGGACUGAGAUACGGCCCAGACUCCUACGGGAGGCAGCAGUUGGGAAUCUUAGGCAAUGGGCGAAAGCCUGACCUAGCGACGCCGCGUGAGGGAAGAAGGCCUUCGGGUCGUAAACCUCUGUCAUGGGGACGAAGGAAGUGACGGUACCCCAAGAGGAAGCCCCUGCUAACUACGUG
rnacentral:rRNA from 1 species